rnacentral:tRNA from 1 species
AGGAUAAUAGUUAACUUAUAACAUUUAAUUUGCAUUUAAAAAAUAUUGAAAUUCUCAAUUUAUCUUA